rnacentral:rRNA from 1 species
CAGGGAUUACCUCAGUAACGGCGAGUGAAGCGGUAACAGCUCAAAUUUGAAAGCUAGCUCUUUUAGGGUUCGCAUUGUAAUUUGUAGAAGAUGCUUCGGGUGUGGCCCCGGUCUAAGUUCCUUGGAACAGGACGUCAUAGAGGGUGAGAAUCCCGUAUGUGACUGGGUGCUUUCGCUCAUGUGAAGCUCUUUCGACGAGUCGAGUUGUUUGGGAAUGCAGCUCAAAAUGGGUGGUAAAUUUCAUCUAAAGCUAAAUAUUGGCCAGAGACCGAUAGCGCACAAGUAGAGUGAUCGAAAGAUGAAAAGCACUUUGGAAAGAGAGUUAAACAGUACGUGAAAUUGUUGAAAGGGAAGCGCUUGCAACCAGACUUGCGCGCUGAUGAUCAUCCGGGCUUCUGCCCGGUGCACUCGUCUGCGCUCAGGCCAGCAUCGGUUUCGGUGGUGGGAUAAAGGCCUUGGGAAUGUAGCUCCUCUCGGGGAGUGUUAUAGCCCUCGGUGCAAUGCCGCCUACCGGGACCGAGGACCGCGCUUCGGCUAGGAUGCUGGCGUAAUGGUUGUAAGCGACCCGUCUUGAAACACGGACCAAGGAGUCUAACAUCUAUGCGAGUGUUUGGGUGUCAAACCCAUACGCGUAAUGAAAGUGAACGGAGGUGAGAACCCUUAAGGGUGCAUCAUCGACCGAUCCUGAUGUCUUCGGAUGGAUUUGAGUAAGAGCAUAGCUGUUGGGACCCGAAAGAUGGUGAACUAUGCGUGAAUAGGGUGAAGCCAGAGGAAACUCUGGUGGAGGCUCGCAGCGGUUCUGACGUGCAAAUCGAUCGUCAAAUUUGCGUAUAGGGGCGA